rnacentral:pre_miRNA from 1 species
CAUCUUACUGGACAGUGCUGGAUUCUCGGCAUGGCUCUAACACUGUCUGGUAACGAUGCU